AACGCGAAGAACCUUACCUGGGCUUGAACUACGGAUGGUAAGCUGAUGGAAACAUUGGCUGACCCGCAAGGGAGUCCGCAGAGGUGCUGCAUGGUUGUCGUCAGCUCGUGUCGUGAGAUGUUGGGUUAAGUCCCGCAACGAGCGCAACCCUUAUCCCUAGUUGCCAUCGGGUCAAGCCGGGCACUCUAGUGAAACCGCCCAGGAUAACUGGGAGGAAGGUGGGGAUGACGUCAAGUCCUCAUGGCCUUUAUGUCCAGGGCUACACACGUGCUACAAUGGUCGGUACAAACCGUCGCAAACCCGCGAGGGGGAGCUAAUCGGAAAAAGCCGGCCUCAGUUCGGAUUGGAGUCUGCAACCCGACUCCAUGAAGCUGGAAUCGCUAGUAAUCGCGGAUCAGAACGCCGCGGUGAAUACGUUCCCGGGCCUUGUACACACCGGUACUA
rnacentral:rRNA from 1 species